UGAGGAAUAUUGGUCAAUGGGCGAGAGCCUGAACCAGCCAAGUCGCGGUGAGGGAAGACGGUCCUACGGAUUGUAAACCUCUUUUGUCGGGGAGCAAUAAAGCGUACGCGUACGCAGAUGCGAGUACCCGAAGAAAAAGCAUCGGCUAACUCCGUGCC
rnacentral:rRNA from 1 species